CCGUGAACUGCCUAGAGGCAGCGGACAGGGCCACAUGAGCCAGCUGGUCGGAUUCAGUUACGCCUGCUUGUAAUGAGUCGGUGCGCGGAUAUUGCUGGGUGCUAAAACGCUCGGUGUACCGUGGUGCUGGCCUUUGCGGGUCGUUGUAGCGUACUUUCGGCCAGCGUAUGGUAGCCGCGAUCAAUUGAUCCAGGUGCCAAGUAUGUGAGUAGGUAGCCGCGGGUGCUCCUUGUGGGUGCUGCUAACGUCGGUGAACACUUGCAUAUUGGACCGACCUGGGUGGAUUGUGGAGCGACUGCAGUGUACGCAUCGUCAGAAGGUGCUUGCUGCUCUGUCGAGUUUGGUCAGUCAGUCGAGUACUGCCCAGCAGUGCUAGAUUGGCUAGGCUGGAUUGCAGGCGGGGUGUGUUAGCGAAUGCGAGGUGCACUGCUGGUCAGCGGCUUGUUGGUCGCCUAUCCGUCCCGUCUUGAAACACGGACCAAGGAGUUGAACAUGUAGGCGAGUCAUUUGGUUGUAAUUGAAACCAAAAGGCGCUGUGAAAGCGAAAUUUGCCAAGAUAUGCUAGUCUACAAGCGGAAUUAGCCAAGAUCUGCUAGUGUUCUUUUCUGAUUGAGUGGUGGGGCAUAGGGGACUCUUCUCACUGUGUUGUGCAAGUGGCGAAGUUUGAGCGUACACGUUCUGACCCGAAAGAUGGUGAGAUAUGUUCGAGCACGAUGAAGCCAGAGGAAACUCUGGUGGAGGUCUGCAGAGAUUUUGACGUGCAAAUCGAUAUUGUGUGUUGAGUAUAGGGGGGAAAGAGUAUUCGAGCCAUAUAGUAGAUGGUUUCCUCUGAAGUUUCUCUCUGGAUAGAUGGCACUCGAGAAGGCAGUUGUACUUCGAUAAAGCGAAUGAUUAGAGUGUUCUGGGUCGAAACGACCUAAACCUAUUCUCAAACUUUAAAUGGGUACGAUCUCGAGCUCACUUAACUGGAGCUUGAGUGUGAAUGUGUGCAGUGCCAAGUGGGCCACUUUUGGUAAGCAGAACUGGCGCUGUGGGAUGAACCAAACGUCUGGUUAAGGUGCCGAACACUGACGCUCAUGAGAAACCAUAAAAGGUGUUGGUUGAUAUAGACAGCAGGACGGUGGCCAUGAAGUCGAAUC
rnacentral:rRNA from 1 species